CCAGACUCCUCCAGUGAAGCCACCUGACAUGAUUUUUCCCUUUUGGAGAAAACUGCUGCAUCUGGGAUCUACCAGAGACUCCUCCUGCUCUGGUCCUGUCUGGUCCCUGCCCCACAGUGUGUCCCCAGCACAUGUCCCUGUGCCACCGCAGCCCUGGGCCAGGCACCGUGCCCUGCGGUGAGGUCACAACGUCUGGGUUCUAUCUCCUCCUCCUGGGGCUGGUGUUGCCUUGGUUUCUUGUGGAGUUUGAGGGAGGAGAACCUGUUAAGAGGAGAGCGUUGAUCUGGGAGAUCUGCAGCCACGAGGAGGAUGAGGGCGCUUCGAGCUCUCUGUCCAUGUGUGUGUCCCCCGUCCAGAGCCUCCAGUCCUGAGGACAGAGACGGGGUGACGGGGACUGUCCCUGAGGCUGUCGACACCUUUGUGGCCAUUGGGACAUCUGGGCUGAAACAGCUGCAAGACCAUGAGGGCAACCGGGUGGACACAUACCGGGAGCUGGAGCAUGCCUUGCAGGGAGAGGAUGGCUGCUUGCCCGGUGGUGUUGUGAACCGCCUCAUAGCAGAGGCCUCAGGUGACCUGCGA